ensembl:lncRNA
AACGUUGGAAUAUCCAUAAAUCCAUUUAAUGCAUCAGCUGUUUUAGUGAUUUUCCAUCCACAGAUUCCAAUGAUGACUUUAUAGAAAGAUAUUCAAGUUUAACUCAACUUUUAAUAACAUUUCCAGGAGACCUUCAAAAUAAAAGCUGACUGACGUCUUGUUUCCAUCCACCGCUGUAGAAUAACUGUUAACAUAAUAACAAAAUUGAACAAAAUUACAUAUUUGCUCAAGAGUUCAGUGGUUGUAUUGUUGACCAUAAUGCACUAAAUGGACGUCAUGAUGUAUCAAAGGAGACUUUAUAGUUUUUACACCUGCCUGGCAGGACAGUUUGCCUGAGAGCCUGAAACCAGGGCGAAACAACCCUCCCCUUCUCACUCUCUGCUCGACGACGGGACAGCCGCCAGGCUUGGUUUCCAAGGUGGUUUCCAUGGUUACCGCUGAGCCUCGCUCUGACCUGAUUGUUCGAAAAAAAAACAAUGAGGGAAAACUUCAAAGGGGAGCUGCUCAGUUCAGUUGCCUAGCAACAAGGCUCAGUGGCAGAACUCUGUCUCUUAAAUCUGUAACUGUCUUCUGCUCUCAGUCCGUCUCUGUCGUUUCAUCUCUCUCCCUCUCUCUCUCUCUCUCUCCGUUCAUGACUUGUUUCAUUUUCAAUUUUCUUUAUUUACAUGACGCCAAACCAUAGAAACAUAACACGAGAAUAGAUGAGAACAGAGAUAAAGUAAAAUAAAAGAGUUGAGAUGAAAUGAGACAUGGAUGAGAUGAGCCAGAUAUGAGACACGGAUGAGAUGAGACAAGAUAGAGAUGAGACAUGGAUGAGAUGAGACAGAUGAGAUAGAGAUGAGACAUGGGUGAGAUGAGACAUGGAUGGGAUGAGCCAGAGAUGACACACGGAUGAGAUGAGACAGAGAUGAUACAAGAUAGAGAUGACACAUGGAUGAGAUGAGACAUGGAGGAGACAUGGGUGAGAUGGGAUAGAGAUGAGACAUGGGUGAAAUGAGAGAGAUGAGACAUGGAUGAGAUGAGACAGAUGAGAUGGAGAUGAGACAUGGAUGGGAUGAGGCUGAGAUGAGACAUGAAUGAGGUAAGAUGAGACGAGAUAGAGAUGAGACAUGGAUGAGAUGAGACUGAUGAGAUGGAAAUAAGAUAGCAAUGAGAUGAAAUAGCAAUGAGAUAGAGCUUUAGUUUUUUUUAGACAAAAAACAGAAUAAACUGGAGAAGCUGUACGGAGUGAGUCAUGUAGUGCAGGGUGGGGGGCCAGGGGUAGCAGGAGAAGGAGAGUUUGAGGUGGGUUGUGAGGGCUUGUUUGGAUGGUGAUAGGGUGGGAGCCUGGCGGAUGUGGAAGGAGUGACAAUGGAGCCAUCGUGUUGCGAGAGAAGGUCUGGGAUGAGCGGCUGAAAGAGGGAGUCAGUAGUUAC